CUUAAAUGUUAAUCAUCCUAUACAAAGGUAGAUAACUCUAUCAUUUCAUAACUGAAUAUACUGUAACUAUAAUUUAUUGUUAAAUCUUUCUCCAAAACAAUGCAAAACUUUUAUAUUACAUUGUAUUAUCAAAAUCAGUCGGUUGGUGUAUCAUAUAUUUAUUGACUAGAACAAUCCUAUUGUCUAACACAACAUUCACUUAAACAGGAAAUACACCUUGACAAAGCUACUUAAUACUGAUAAGACCAGGUUACAAAAUUGUGAAUAAUUUCCUGUUUUAAUCAAAUUAUAUACUCAAACUUUAUCAUAAUAUCAUUUAUGUGUUUAAAAAUGGUUUUUUUACAGGUUAACUUUGGUCUCAUUAAGGAAGUCUUUCAUCGAAUUGUG
rnacentral:lncRNA from 1 species